rnacentral:rRNA from 1 species
UAGGGAAUCUUCGGCAAUGGACGGAAGUCUGACCGAGCAACGCUGCGUGAGUGAAGAAGGUUUUCGGAUCGUAAAGCUCUGUUGUUAGAGAAGAACGUUGGUAGGAGUGGAAAAUCUACCAAGUGACGGUAACUAACCAGAAAGGGACGGCUAACUACGUGCCAGCAGCCGCGGUAAUACGUAGGUCCCGAGCGUUGUCCGGAUUUAUUGGGCGUAAAGCGAGCGCAGGCGGUUCUUUAAGUCUGAAGUUAAAGGCAGUGGCUUAACCAUUGUACGCUUUGGAAACUGGAGGACUUGAGUGCAGAAGGGGAGAGUGGAAUUCCAUUUGUAGCGGUGUAAUGCGUAGAUAUAUGGAGGAACACCGGUGGCGAAAGCGGCUCUCUGGUCUGUAACUGACGAUGAGGCUCGAAAGCGUGGGGAGCAAACAGG